rnacentral:lncRNA from 1 species
GUAAACAGCAAAAAUGAUCAGCAAAGUAAGAUCUACAAAUAGGUUAAUAUGACCAAAAUUGUCAAUUGACCCCUUAAGGGGUAAAUGUCCUUUAAUGACAAUUUUUCACAAUUUGUUCAUCAUAUUUGCUAACUUUAAAAAAUCUUCUCCUCUGAAACUACUGAAUGGAUUUGGAUGAAACUUAGCAUGAUAGUUCCUUAGAUUAUCCUGCACAAAGUGUGUGCUUCGAUUUUUGAUCCGUCAAAAAAACAUGGCCGCCCUUACUUUGAAUAGAACAUAGGGGUCAAAUGCAGUUUUUGGCUUAUAUCUCAAAAACGAAAGCAUUUAGAGCAAAUCUGACAUGGGGUAAAAUGUUCAUUAGGUCAAGAUCUAUCAGCCC